rnacentral:rRNA from 1 species
UGGGGAAUUUUGCACAAUGGAGGAAACUCUGAUGCAGCGACGCCGCGUGAGUGAUGAAGAUCUUCGGAUUGUAAAACUCUGUCCUUAGUGAAGAUAAUGACAGUAACUAAGAAGCAAGCCCUGGCUAAAUACGUGCAAGCAGCCGCGGUAAUACGUAUGGGGCAAGCGUUGUCCGGAAUUAUUGGGCGUAAAGGGUACGUAGGCGGUUUAAUAAGUCCUAAUUAAAAGGCUAUGGCUCAACCAUAGUAUGGUUAGGAAACUGUUGAACUUGAGUAGAUGAGGGGAAAGUGGAAUUCCAUGUGUAGCGGUGAAAUGCGUAGAUAUAUGGAGGAACACCAAUGGCGAAGGCAACUUUCUGGAAUCAAACUGACGCUGAGGUACGAAGGCGUGGGGAGCAAACAGG